rnacentral:rRNA from 1 species
AUUGAACGCUGGCGGCAGGCCUAACACAUGCAAGUCGAGCGGUAACACAGGGAGCUUGCUCCCGGGUGACGAGCGGCGGACGGGUGAGUAAUGUCUGGGAAACUGCCCGAUGGAGGAGGAUAACUACUGGAAACGGUAGCUAAUACCGCAUAACGUCGCAAGACCAAAGUGGGGGACCUUCGGGCCUCACACCAUCGGAUGUGCCCAGAUGGGAUUAGCUAGUAGGUGGGGUAACGGCUCACCUAGGCGACGAUCCCUAGCUGGUCUGAGAGGAUGACCAGCCACACUGGAACUGAGACACGGUCCAGACUCCUACGGGAGGCAGCAGUGGGGAGUAUUGCACAAUGGGCGCAAGCCUGAUGCAGCCAUGCUGCGUGUAUGAAGAAGGCCUUCGGGUUGUAAAGUACUUUCAGCGAGGAGGAAGGCGUUGUGGUUAAUAACCGCAGCGAUUGACGUUACUCGCAGAAGAAGCACCGGCUAACUCCGUGCCAGCCGCCGCGGUAA